rnacentral:rRNA from 1 species
CCUACGGGAGGCUGCAGUGAGGAAUAUUGGUCAAUGGACGAAAGUCUGAACCAGCCAUGCCGCGUGCAGGAAGACGGCUCUAUGAGUUGUAAACUGCUUUUGUACAAGGGUAAACCUGAAUACGUGUAUUCAGCUGAAAGUACUGUACGAAUAAGGAUCGGCUAACUCCGUGCCAGCAGCCGCGGUAAUACGGAGGAUCCAAGCGUUAUCCGGAUUUAUUGGGUUUAAAGGGUGCGUAGGCGGAUUGAUAAGUUAGAGGUGAAAUGGCCGGGCUCAACUCGGGAACUGCCUCUAAUACUGUUGAUCUAGAGAGUAGAUGCGGUAGGCGGAAUGUAUGGUGUAGCGGUGAAAUGCUUAGAUAUUACUCAGAACACCGAUUGCGCAGGCAGCUUGCUAAUCCGCAUCUGACGCUGAUGCACGAAAGCGUGGGUAGCGAACAGGAUUAGAUACCCGAGUAGUC